rnacentral:rRNA from 1 species
UACGUAGGGUGCGAGCGUUAAUCGGAAUUACUGGGCGUAAAGCGUGCGCAGGCGGUUUGUUAAGUCUGAUGUGAAAGCCCCGGGCUCAACCUGGGAACUGCAUUGGAAACUGGCAAGCUCGAGUAUGGCAGAGGGGGGUGGAAUUCCGCGUGUAGCAGUGAAAUGCGUAGAGAUGCGGAGGAACACCGAUGGCGAAGGCAACUUACUGGCCUGCAACUGACACUGAGAUUCGAAAGCAUGGGUAGCAAACAGG